rnacentral:rRNA from 1 species
AUGGCUCAGAUUGAACGCUGGCGGCAUGCCUUACACAUGCAAGUCGAACGGUAACAGGUCUUCGGAUGCUGACGAGUGGCGAACGGGUGAGUAAUACAUCGGAACGUGCCUAGUAGUGGGGGAUAACUACUCGAAAGAGUAGCUAAUACCGCAUGAGAUCUACGGAUGAAAGCAGGGGAUCGCAAGACCUUGUGCUACUAGAGCGGCUGAUGGCAGAUUAGGUAGUUGGUGGGAUAAAAGCUUACCAAGCCGACGAUCUGUAGCUGGUCUGAGAGGACGAUCAGCCACACUGGGACUGAGACACGGCCCAGACUCCUACGGGAGGCAGCAGUGGGGAAUUUUGGACAAUGGGCGAAAGCCUGAUCCAGCAAUGCCGCCGUGCAGGAUGAAGGCCUUCGGGUUGUAAACUGCUUUUGUACGGAACGAAAAGCUUUGGGUUAAUACCCUGGAGUCAUGACGGUACCGUAAGAAUAAGCACCGGCUAACUACGUGCCAGCCGCUGC